CAGGUGCUCACGCACACGUGGUUGGGUGCCUGCUCCUGAAUUUCCUGGGGUUGAAACCAAAAUGUUCUGUAAUUUCCUGCCUCUUCUUUACCUCCCUUCUAAGCACACGUGUUUCAUUUGCUCUGCUGAACUCUCCCAGCGCCUUCAGAAGUUCUCUGAAGUAGCUGAUAACACACUGAAGCUGCAGAGUGAGUCCACUGAUUGUUGGCUAUGCUGAUGAAGAAAGCAGCUGGACCCUUUGGUAAAAUUCCUGUCUCCUGCAUCCUGGGCUGCUCAGAGGACACUCAGCACUUGAGCUGCUGCCUUGGAUUGCAUCCCUCCCUUUGGGCCAUGAGGAACAAUCCUCUGCCCACCUUGCCCUGUUGAAUCCUCUUUGAGGGUUUCCAACCAUAACAGCCCCACAGCUGGAGCCACAGACCCUUCCCUGCUUUGUGGGAUCCUCCAGGAAUUCCAGCCCUGGAAAUGGUUGGAAUUCCCAGCCCAGCAUGUGUGGGGCUCUCUGCCCAGGGCAGAGGAGACAUCUCCUUCCCAAAGCACCCCCACGAGUGGCUUCUUGCAAAUCCCUGAGGAGUGCAGGCUGCUCAUCCCAGCUUCU